rnacentral:rRNA from 1 species
AUUGAACGCUGGCGGCAGGCCUAACACAUGCAAGUCGAACGGUAACAGGAAGAUGCUUGCUUCUUUGCUGACGAGUGGCGGACGGGUGAGUAAUGUCUGGGAAACUGCCUGAUGGAGGGGGAUAACUACUGGAAACGGUAGCUAAUACCGCAUAACGUCGCAAGACCAAAGAGGGGGACCUUCGGGCCUCUUGCCAUCGGAUGUGCCCAGAUGGGAUUAGCUAGUAGGUGGGGUAACGGCUCACCUAGGUGACGAUCCCUAGCUGGUCUGAGAGGAUGACCAGCCACACUGGAACUGGGACACGGUCCAGACUCCUACGGGAGGCAGCAGUGGGGAAUAUUGCGCAAUGGGCGCAAGCCUGAUGCAGCCAUGCCGCGUGUAUGAAGAAGGCCUUCGGGUUGUAAAGUACUUUCAGCGGGGAGGAAGGGAGUAAAGUUAAUACCUUUGCUCAUUGACGUUACCCGCAGAAGAAGCACCGGCUAACUCCGUG